AGAGUUUGAUCCUGGCUCAGGAUGAACGCUAGCUACAGGCUUAACACAUGCAAGUCGAGGGGAAACGACAUCGAAAGCUUGCUUUUGAUGGGCGUCGACCGGCGCACGGGUGAGUAACGCGUAUCCAACCUGCCCAUCACUUGGGGAUAACCUUGCGAAAGUAAGACUAAUACCCAAUGAUAUCUCUAGAAGGCAUCUGAAAGAGAUUAAAGAUUUAUCGGUGAUGGAUGGGGGUGCGUCUGAUUAGCUUGUUGGCGGGGUAACGGCCACCAAAGCAACGAUCAGUAGGGUUCUGAGAGGAAGGUCCCCCACAUUGGAACUGAGACACGGUCCAACUCCGUACGGAGGCA
rnacentral:rRNA from 1 species